UACAUAGGGAGCAAGCGUUAUCCGGAAUUAUUGGGUGUAAAGGGUGCGUAGACGGAGGAGCAAGUUAGUUGUGAAAUCCCUCGGCUUAACUGAGGAACUGCAACUAAAACUAUUCCCCUUGAGUGUCGGAGAGGAAAGUGGAAUUCCUAGUGUAGCGGUGAAAUGCGUAGAUAUUAGGAGGAACACCAGUGGCGAAGGCGACUUUCUGGACGAUAACUGACGUUGAGGCACGAAAGUGUGGGGAGCAAACAGG
rnacentral:rRNA from 1 species